rnacentral:rRNA from 1 species
CAGCAGCCGCGGUAAUACGAAGGGGGCUAGCGUUGUUCGGAAUUACUGGGCGUAAAGCGCACGUAGGCGGAUAUUUAAGUCAGGGGUGAAAUCCCGCAGCUCAACUGCGGAACUGCCUUUUAUACUGGGUAUCUUGAGUAUGGAAGAGGUUAGUGGAAUUGCGAGUGUAGAGGUGAAAUUCGUAGAUAUUCGCAGGAACACCAGUGGCGAAGGCGGCUAACUGGUCCAUAACUGACGCUGAGGUGCGAAAGCGUGGGGAGCAAACAGGAUUAGAUACCCCGGUAGUCCCUGUCUCUUAUAC